rnacentral:rRNA from 1 species
GACAGAGGAUGCAAGCGUUAUCCGGAAUGAUUGGGCGUAAAGCGUCUGUAGGUGGCUUUUUAAGUCCGCCGUCAAAUCCCAGGGCUCAACCCUGGACAGGCGGUGGAAACUACCAAGCUGGAGUACGGUAGGGGCAGAGGGAAUUUCCGGUGGAGCGGUGAAAUGCGUAGAGAUCGGAAAGAACACCAGUGGCGAAGGCGACUAACUGGACAGGUAUUGACGCUGAGGUGCGAAAGCGUGGG